CUUCCACACCACCUCAAACCCUAAUUCCAUUUCUUGUUCCUAUCGUGCCAUUUGCAUCCCUAACCCUAAUUUCCCUUCUGUUUCAAAAUUCACGCGGUUCCUCCCCUUUUUACGCUGAUCUGUUUAUUUCUUACUUUUUCUGUGUUAAAACUUGUUUUCUACUUGUUUUGUAACUACUUAUUUUAUUUUAUUUUAUUUGCAUCAUCGGCGAUAUCUUCAUUAUUCCGUGGUCUAUUUCGCGUCAUUUGUUCUUUUUGAUAUCUAAAUGUUGAGCCCUAUGUGUGGUGUGAUGUUCUGAGCAAAUUGCAUUUGCCUUUUUUGUAAUAUUUUUUCGACUGCAAAAUUAUAACCUAGAAAUAUAGUUGAUUUUUCUUUUACUCUUAAAAUAAAGUUCAACAGUGAUAACUGGUGCAAAUUGUUCGUUAGAUUGCCCAAUGAUGUGAAAAUAUAUUGUUGAGCGGCUUCAUGGUUUCGUUCAUAACCUGAUCUGCAUCUCUCUCUCUCUCUCUAUCUCUCUUUCUUUUCCUUUAUGUGUAUGGGUGCGUGUGUUUGUGUGUGUGUGUGUGUGUGUGUUUGUGGAUGAAUGACAGCUACGGGCCGUAUGGAAUGUGUGUGAAGGUUGUGAAUGGAAACCAUGACAAAAGCUGUUGAUGAUUUUGUAUUAAGCUAUGAGAUCUGAGGGCUUUUAAUUUUGUCUUCGAAACAUUUUUUUUUGUAAUUGAUUUGUUUAUUGGUUUUCUUGUUUAGUGGAUGAUGACACGCACUGGGCUCCGAGCAGUUUUAAAUGCGCUUUUGAAGGAAAUGCAAAGCCUAGAAAGCUUUGUCUGACACCCACAAGAGAUACAAAGAUGAAUUGAUUGUUAAUUUCGUUUGUUUUCAUUGUAUGUGGAUCCCUCGAUCCGCCCCCUUCAAACCCUAAUGUGGUAUUAUUUGAUAUUGAUACAAGAAUCUCUAAUUUCCCCCAAUUUCUUUUAUUUACUUGUACGGCCUGUUCUUUUGCUUCUCUCUGUCUGUCUUUUCGUCGUUGUUGUGUAUGUUAAGAGAUAUUAUAUAUUUUGCUUCUGGUGUUAUGAACACCAGUUUUGUGCUGCAAUAGUAAUUAAGCCCAUGGUGUGUUUUGUGGGAUUCAUUUUUUAUUUUAAUUUUUAUUGAGGAGAUCUUAUUUACCCGUAUUUCUUAGAUUCAUGACUUGAAGGAAAAUUUUCAUCUUUACAUAAACAUUUCUGAUAAUAUUUAGAGCUGUAUGCCUGAAAUCGUGCCCAAUGAUGUACAAAUAGACUUUUGAGCGGCUUAAUGGUUUUCUUUAUAACCUGAUUUGCAUUUCUUUUUCUUCUUCUUCUUCUUCAUCAUCACCACCUUUUCUGUCUUUCUUUCUUUCUCUUUUUCUCUCUUCUAUUCUCUCUCUCUCUCUCUCUCCUAGGUGCAAGAAGGUUGUGAAUGGAUCCCGUUUUUAAAGCUGUACAUGAUUUUUGAAGCUAUGAGAUCUGAGGGCAUUUGGUUUUGGAUUGAUCUUUGUCGAUUAUUUUGCUUAUAACAGCUGGCUUAUAGAGUUUUAUUGUGAAAUUAAAAUUUGCUUAUAGUUGGGCAAAGACCAUUGUAAUCCUUUCCCCAUGACUGCUGCUUUGAUCUGUUUAGGUGUGUUUGCCGUAAAUCUCCUGAACUAUUGUAUUCACAGUUAAGGAUUUCAUCCUUUGGAAUUACAAAGGUCAUCUGUCUGGCAUCAACUUUAGCUUUUGCAAAAUGCAAGCUUUACUCCACAAACAAAGGUUUUCUGCUGUAUUUUAAGGGCAAUGUCUCAAUGUUCUUUUGUCACCUUCACGACGCCAGUUUUCAAAUUGCUUAACAUAUCUCUAUCCACAAGAAUUUUUUUGAUGAUUGACUAUAUGUAGUUUUUGCCACGUAGGGAGUCACGUGGAUGAGAAAAUGCAUGGGGUGGACGUUUUUUAGAAAAGCCUCUCCCAGGCGCCUGAUGUGAUAGUUGACCCACGUGGAAAAGAAAGAGUAGGUGGUAAGUGUUUUUCAGAAAGAGCCUCCUUCAAGGCGCCAUCUUUUGCAAAUGUUACAUGUGGCACGUUUGUGAAAAAAGAGCAUGGGGAAGGCUUCUUCUAUUGCAGGGCCAUGUUUGUGAAGAAAGAGCAUGGGAGAGGCUUCUUCUGUUGCAGCCAAGUUUGUAAUGCGCCUCUCCCCGGGCGUUAUGAAAUUCAUACUCCCUCCUAAUAGUUAAAUGUAGAAUGUGUUAUUGGGUUUCACAAAAUUCACUUUUUCCGAUGUAGUGCAGGUACUAUCAUAUUUUAUUUGGUGGUCUAGGAUAGUGCAAGUGAAUAAUAUAUUUUAUUUAUUUUAAUUUUAAAUUUUAAUUUUUAUAAUAUAUUGUAUGGUGAUUCGUUAGUAUAUGUUAGUGGUUACUCGAGUUUCAUUAAAAUGAAUUGAAGAUGGCACAAUCACAUCUAGAUGAACAUAUAAUUCAAUCAUAUUCAUUUUAUAUUGUCUCUCAAAGCUAUCAAACAUACACUCAAGAUCUACAUUGUAUGUUGGAGAUAAUUUGAUUAGUAUUAAGA